GACGAAAGUCUGAUGGAGCAACGCCGCGUGAGUGAAGAAGGUUUUCGGAUCGUAAAACUCUGGUGGUGGAGAAGAAUGUAUCUGAUAGUAACUGAUCAGGUAGUGACGGUAUCCAACCAGAAAGCCACGGCUAACUACGUGCCAGCAGCCGCGGUAAUACGUAGGUGGCAAGCGUUGUCCGGAUUUAUUGGGCGUAAAGCGAGCGCAGGCGGUUUCUUAAGUCUGAUGUGACAGCCUUCGGCUCAACCGAAGAAGUGCAUCGGAAACUGGGAAACUUGAGUGCAGAAGAGGACAGUGGAACUCCAUGUGUAGCGGUGAAAUGCGUAGAUAUAUGGAAGAACACCAGUGGCGAAGGCGGCUGUCUGGUCUGUAACUGACGCUGAGGCUCGAAAGCAUGGGUAGCAAACAGGAUUAGAUACCCUGGUAGUCCAUGCCGUAAACGAUGAGUGCUAGGUGUUGGAGGGUUUCCGCCCUUCAGUGCCGCAGCUAACGCAUUAAGCACUCCGCCUGGGGAGUACGACCGCAAGGUUGAAACUCAAAGGAAUUGACGGGGGCCCGCACAAGCGGUGGAGCAUGUGGUUUAAUUCGAAGCAACGCGAAGAACCUUACCAGGUCUUGACAUCCUUUGACCACUCUAGAGAUAGAGCUUUCCCUUCGGGGACAAAGUGACAGGUGGUGCAUGGUUGUCGUCAGCUCGUGUCGUGAGAUGUUGGGUUAAGUCCCGCAACGAGCGCAACCCUUAUUACUAGUUGCCAGCAUUAAGUUGGGCACUCUAGUGAGACUGCCGGUGACAAACCGGAGGAAGGUGGGGACGACGUCAAAUCAUCAUGCCCCUUAUGACCUGGGCUACACACGUGCUACAAUGGAUGGUACAACGAGUUGCGAGACCGCGAGGUUUAGCUAAUCUCUUAAAACCAUUCUCAGUUCGGAUUGUAGGCUGCAACUCGCCUACAUGAAGCCGGAAUCGCUAGUAAUCGCGGAUCAGCAUGCCGCGGUGAAUACGUUCCCGGGCCUUGUACACACCGCCCGUCACACCAUGAGAGUUUGUAACACCCAAAGCCGGUGAGGUAACCCUUCGGGGAGCCAGCCGUCUAAG
rnacentral:rRNA from 1 species